rnacentral:rRNA from 1 species
CAGUUCGGAUUGAAGGCUGAAAUUCGCCUUCAUGAAGCUGGAAUUGCUAGUAAUGGCAGGUCAGCAUACUGCCGUGAAUACGUUCCCGGGUCUUGUACACACCGCCCGUCACACCAUGAGAGUUGGAAAUGCCCGAAGUCAGUGGCCCAACCGGAAGGGGGGAGCUGCCGAAGGCAGGUUCGAUGACUGGGGUGAAGUCGUAACAAGGUACC